UAGGAGGGGAGGACCGGGGAGGGCUCGGGCACCCCCUGCCUGAGCUCGCGGAUGAACUGAGACGCAAACUGCAGCAACGCCAGCCACUGCCCGACUCCAACCCCGAGGAGUCAUCAGUAUGAGGGGAACCCCCACCGCGUUGGCGGGAAGCGUGGGAGGUGUAGCUCCUACUUUUGCACAGGCACCAGCUACCUCAGGGACAUGGCACGGGCACCUGCUCUGUCUGGGACAGAUACUUCCCAGCACCCACCCGGCCAUGAGGACCUGCUCUGCUCAGCACGGGCACUGCCACUUGGUGUGGCUCACCAGGGCACCAGCCUCGCAGAAGGCAUCUUCCUCCUCUCUGUGAAUCACAGACACGCGGGACCCCAGCCGCCAAAACUUUUCAAGGCAGAAGUUUCAAGAUGUGUGUUUGUAUUUGCACGUGUGUUUGUGUGUGUGUGUGUGUAUGUGUGUGUGCACGCACGUGCGCGCUUGUGGCAUAGCCUUCCUGUUUCUGUCAAGUCUUCCCUUGGCCUGGGUCCUCCUGGUGAGUCAUUGGAGCUAUGAAGGGGAAGGGGUCGUAUCACUUUGUCUCUCCUACCCCCACUGUCCCGAGUGUUGGGCAGCGAUGUACAUACGGGGAUGGGGUGGACAGGGUGUUGUGCCCCUUCAGGGGGAGUGCAGGGCUCAGGGUGGGCCUAGUCCUGCUCCUAGGGCUGUGAAUGUUUUCAGGGUGGGGGGAGGGAGAUGGAGCCUCCUGUGUGUUUGGGGGGAAGGGUGGGUGGGGCCUCCCACUUGGCCCCGGGGUUCAGUGGUAUUUUAUACUUGCCUUCUUCCUGUACAGGGCUGGGAAAGGCUGUGUGAGGGUAAAGAAGGGAGAGAGGGUGGGCCUGCUGUGGACAAUGGCAUACUCUCUUCCAGCCCUAGGAGGAGGGCUCCUAACGGUGUAACUUAUUGUGUCCCCGCGUAUUUAUUUGUUGUAAAUAUUUGAGUAUUUUUAUAUUGACAAAUAAAAUGGAGAAAAUGAAA